rnacentral:piRNA from 1 species
UGGGAUGCUACUUUCAGAAUCUGAGUUCAGA